rnacentral:piRNA from 1 species
UCGAGCUCUGACAGUGCUUCGAUGGAAC